GAGGCCAUGACUGUGUCCCAGCGGCGCCUUUGGUCUGGCGUCGCGCACCCACUGACGUGUCGCCUCUGAGCGGCCUCCAACCUGUUCUUCCCAUCGUAUCCCCCCUCCCCCCUAACACCGUCUUUCUGAUCACUUCAACCGCACGCUUCAUCGUCGUACUUACGCCUUGUCCACCAGCUCGCGCAUUUUCCACAUGUUCAACAUCUUCACUUUCUCUCUCGCUUCGACAGCGGAUUUCUUUCCCCCGUCCGGUAAUAUGGUUUAGUUUAGUCCUCUGGCCCUUUACCUCUCUCUCCCCACCUCUCCUCCACCCCUCCCCGCCCCGCCCACCACCACGGCCCAGGUCAAGGAUGAUUCCCGCUGAUCUACAGCCAGGACUGACAGUUAACAAAUUAAAAAGAAGCCUAGGCCUGGCUAGGACCCCUACCCUCUAACCCCGCUAACCUCCGCCUCCUCUUUCUCCUGAGCUGCCGGCUACCAACUAGUCAAUGCGUGAACGCACUGCUACGUCAUCACGGCGACUAACGCACAGCGUCAUCUGAAUCAGGUCCCGCCUUCUCAUGCUCAGGCACUGCCUCUUUGCGGUUUCCAUCCUUUCAGCGCUUCGCGUGCUAAAUGUUGAGCUGCAGCGCGAGUCGCAGAUUGCAAACGGCUACUGCGUGGUGCAGGCCGGGAUUUGUAGUUUCCAAGACACCUUCACUGCUUCUCCUUUCUGCUCUGAUGCCGCGGAGAACUACAUGUCCCAAAAGGCCCCAUAAGGAGGACCUUGCGCCGACUGUUCUCCGUGCGCUAGAAGAAGCGGUAGCGGGAGCAUUCGGAGUACGGUCGUGUUUUGGUGUGAUCUUGUGUGAGCCAACAUUGUGAUAGUGAAGAUCAUCAGCUCUCAUGUGAUAUCACAUCAAUCUCCAAGUUAUUUUCUUCUAAAGAGGCUUGGAAUUGUCCUAAAAUUGUCCUUCUGCGAACGUCAAAAUCCAGGUCAAUGCUUCAGGACUUUUGUCGAAACUGGAAACAUUGCAAAAGUCAGGAGAAAUGUAAGGACAGAAGAGUUAGUCUUAUAGGACCAAAGAAAUGGGAUGAUAGGGCGAGAAAAAUAAAGAAACUAAAAUUG